rnacentral:sRNA from 1 species
GAGGGUGCGAGCGUUAAUCGGAAUUACUGGGCGUAAAGCGCGCGUAGGCGGUUUGUUGAGUCAGCUGUGAAAGCCCCGGGCUCAACCUGGGAACUGCAGUUGAUACUGGCCGACUAGAGUACGAGAGAGGGAGGUAGAAUUCCAUGUGUAGCGGUGAAAUGCGUAGAUAUAUGGAGGAAUACCAGUGGCGAAGGCGGCCUCCUGGCUCGAUACUGACGCUGAGGUGCGAAAGCGUGGGGAUCAAACAGGAUUAGAUACCCUGGUAGUCCACGCCGUAAACGAUGUCUACUAGCCGUUGGGAGACUAGAUUUCUUAGUGGCGCAGCUAACGCAAUAAGUAGACCGCCUGGGGAGUACGGCCGCAAGGUUAAAACUCAAAUGAAUUGACGGGGGCCCGCACAAGCGGUGGAGCAUGUGGUUUAAUUCGAUGCAACGCGAAGAACCUUACCAGGUCUUGACAUCCUGCGAAUUUUCUAGAGAUAGAUUAGUGCCUUCGGGAACGCAGUGACAGGUGCUGCAUGGCUGUCGUCAGCUCGUGUCGUGAGAUGUUGGGUUAAGUCCCGUAACGAGCGCAACCCUUGUCCUUAGUUGCCAGCACAUAAUGGUGGGAACUCUAAGGAGACUGCCGGUGACAAACCGGAGGAAGGUGGGGACGACGUCAAGUCAUCAUGGCCCUUACGACCUGGGCUACACACGUGCUACAAUGGAACGCACAGAGGGCUGCAAAGGCGCGAGCUGGAGCGAAUCCCACAAAACGUUUCGUAGUCCGGAUUGGAGUCUGCAACUCGACUCCAUGAAGUCGGAAUCGCUAGUAAUCGUGAAUCAGAAUGUCACGGUGAAUACGUUCCCGGGCCUUGUACACACCGCCCGUCACACCAUGGGAGUGGGCUGCAAAAGAAGUGGGUAGACUAACCUUCGGGAGGUCGCUCACCACUUUGUGAUUCAUGACUGGGGUGAAGUCGUAACAAGGUAGCCCUAGGGGAACCUGGGGCUGGAUCACCUCCUUAAACGAUGUUGGCGCUACCUAAUGAGUGCUCACACAUUUGUCUUCAUCUAAUUCGGUUGAUGCGACGGUACCGCCAGCUCGUCUGCGAGCGUAUUUUUUGCAGGCCUGUAGCUCAGUUGGUUAGAGCGCACCCCUGAUAAGGGUGAGGUCGGCAGUUCAAAUCUGCCCAGGCCUACCAAACACGGUUUGGUUUACUUGGUAGACUUUGAGAUUGCUGGAAAGACUCCGGGGCUAUAGCUCAGCUGGGAGAGCGCCUGCCUUGCACGCAGGAGGUCAGCGGUUCGAUCCCGCUUAGCUCCACCAUCUUAUCCAAAGUGGGUAUAUUGCAUCAACGAGAUCAGAAAGAAGUCUGUUUCUACAAGCAGGCUUCUUUCUGGUUUUAACAGCCGGAAUGUUCUUUAACAAGGUAGAUUAAGCUGAAUCUUUGAGCUGACAUAAAGCACUUUGGUGAGUUAUGCGGUUCAUUGAUAAAUUGUUCUGUGAUGAUGGGUUUCAAUUCCCUGUUGUCACAACGAGUUGUAAUAAACACUGUGACUUAAGCGUCACAAACAUCCGGCGGGUGUGCACUUUGAUCGGUGUACAUCUACUAGUACCUGGCCUGUGUUAAGGGGGUCGGGGAACUGUUUUCUUGGGAUGUCUUUUGUUGUUUGAAAGGCAUGAUCUCUUGUAGUUUGAGAGAAACAGAUAACUUCGGUUAUAUGGUCAAGUGACUAAGCGUAUACGGUGGAUGCCUUGGCAGUCAGAGGCGAUGAAGGACGUUGUAGCCUGCGAAAAGCUUCGGGGAGUCGGCAAACAGACUUUGAUCCGGAGAUGU